UAUAGAAUUUAAUAUUUUCUUAAUGGGCGUGCUAAAAGCAAAUUGAUCACUAAUUGUGAACCGGAGGGAGUAAUACGUAAGCAGGUGCAAAGAGACCAAUGGAGGGCUUGACUAAAGCAACGGAAUUUCAAAUUCUUUCCAUGAGAAGUAAGCAAAUAACCAGGAAGCUUUAUAGGUUUCUUCCUCGUUCUUUCCCUGAUUGCAUCAUUAGAUAAAUUAGUUAAUAGUUGUGGAGGAGAGAUACCCGUUUAAAUUAAAUGCAGAAUGUGUUUAAACAGCUAAAGCUUGCUGAACAGGCAACCUUGUAAAUAUAAAUGAUUUUACAUCCUGUAACUUAAAACUUCUCAAGGAUUUUAUAUUUCAUUAUUCCCCUCUACUUUUUGCCCCCAUCUAUCGAGUUUUUUAUUCUAGCUAAUAGUUUUUUUGGGGUUAAAAUUGUCCAAAUAUUGUCUGCUAGAUUAGUUACUGAUAAUUAAGUGAAUUGAGCUGUGUACUUGGUGUUCUCUGUAAGAUUUUACACUAUGCAGCUUAAAGAUCGGUACUCAGAUUUCCUAAGAUAAAGCAUCAUGCCAACACGACCCAAUAUCUUGGUUCUAUUAGAGGCAUUGUUUGGUAUAUUAGAGUUUCUAAGACAUCUAUUGUGGAUCCGGCUGAUAUCAAAGAAGCCAUGGGUGCUGAAAUUGCGCAGUCACAUUGUGGGCACUUUCAUGUGCUACCUGCUGUUGAUGAACUUGCAGGCUUUCAGAAUUUCAGGUCCAUAGUUUAUAAAGCUGAAUUAUUAUGGCAUGCUGGGCCAUUAUUUACAUAUGAUACGAUAAACUUCUACAAUCUGGAGCUGAGCAAUACUAAUCAAUAUGUUUCCACUGGGUUGUUGUUGUGGCUGCAGCAAUAUGUCUAGAUAUCUUGUGCUGGGUUUUAACCGUCAUAAAGAGCCAAUUAACACUAAAUAAGCUGUGCAAUCUGCAAACGGACACCAUCAAGUUGAGGAUUGAUAACAUUGCCAAGGUGGUGCUGGCCUAUAAAUAGCUGUUUUUUAAGUCAUAAGCAAUGAAUGAAUCAAUUCUUUUGUGGAUAUUUUGAUCUGUUGUACAUCAUGUGCAGAUGGGUGAUCACACAACUUAUGACUUCAUUGAGAAGAAAGGGGUAGUUUUUGUACUGGAUGAUUAGAAAAAUCGCACCAAGCAAAGCACUUCUUUUUUCUUUAAAGCCGAAAAAUCUCCAAGGGCCAGUGGCACACGGUUCGAAACUCGGCGGAUAAUGGGUCCACCCCUCUACCCUUCUCUACUUAAUACAAGGUUUUUUCUGUGGUAGAGUUCGAGUUGCUCCAAGCAAAGCAUUUCAAGUUCACUAUGAAAGAUCAGCUGGGGGAUAGUCAUGCUGUUUAGAGCACUACCAUAUGUAAUUACAUGUACCGUAAGCAAAGUCUGUCUAGACUAGCACUGCCGUUUAGUUUUUGCUUGUGCUGUUAGCAACUGUUAAUAGCAGCAUCGUUUACCUUUCUUCUGGCUACAACACUGUACACACAUUGAUUUUUUAAAUUCAGCUCAAGUCAAACUCUUAA